UAAGGAAUAUUGGUCAAUGGGCGGAAGCCUGAACCAGCCAUGCCGCGUGCAGGAAGACGGCCCUACGGGUUGUAAACUGCUUUUGUACCGGAAUAAACCUAUGUAUGUAUAUGUAGCUGAAUGUACGGUAAGAAUAAGGAUCGGCUAACUCCGUGCCAGCAGCCGCGGUAAUACGGAGGAUCCGAGCGUUAUCCGGAUUUAUUGGGUUUAAAGGGUGCGUAGGCGGCCUGUUAAGUCAGGGGUGAAAGACGGUAGCUCAACUAUCGCAGUGCCCUUGAUACUGAUGGGCUUGAAUGUACUAGAGGUAGGCGGAAUGUGACAAGUAGCGGUGAAAUGCAUAGAUAUGUCACAGAACACCAAUUGCGAAGGCAGCUUACUAUGGUAUGAUUGACGCUGAGGCACGAAGGCGUGGGGAUCAAACA
rnacentral:rRNA from 1 species